GUCGAGCGAACAGACGAGGAGCUUGCUCCUUUGAUGUUAGCGGCGGACGGGUGAGUAACACGUAGGUAACCUACCUAUAAGACUGGGAUAACUUCGGGAAACCGGAGCUAAUACCGGAUAAUAUUUCGAACCGCAUGGUUCGAUAGUGAAAGAUGGCUUUGCUAUCACUUAUAGAUGGACCUGCGCCGUAUUAGCUAGUUGGUAAGGUAACGGCUUACCAAGGCAACGAUACGUAGCCGACCUGAGAGGGUGAUCGGCCACACUGGAACUGAGACACGGUCCAGACUCCUACGGGAGGCAGCAGUAGGGAAUCUUCCGCAAUGGGCGAAAGCCUGACGGAGCAACGCCGCGUGAGUGAUGAAGGUCUUCGGAUCGUAAAACUCUGUUAUUAGGGAAGAACAAACGUGUAAGUAACUGUGCACGUCUUGACGGUACCUAAUCAGAAAGCCACGGCUAACUACGUGCCAGCAGCCGCGGUAAUACGUAGGUGGCAAGCGUUAUCCGGAAUUAUUGGGCGUAAAGCGCGCGUAGGCGGUUUUUUAAGUCUGAUGUGAAAGCCCACGGCUCAACCGUGGAGGGUCAUUGGAAACUGGAAAACUUGAGUGCAGAAGAGGAAAGUGGAAUUCCAUGUGUAGCGGUGAAAUGCGCAGAGAUAUGGAGGAACACCAGUGGCGAAGGCGACUUUCUGGUCUGUAACUGACGCUGAUGUGCGAAAGCGUGGGG
rnacentral:rRNA from 1 species